UACGUAGGGGGCUAGCGUUGUCCGGAAUCAUUGGGCGUAAAGCGCGUGUAGGCGGCCCGGUAAGUCCGCUGUGAAAGUCCAGGGCUCAACCCUGGGAUGCCGGUGGAUACUGUCGGGCUCGAGUCCGGAAGAGGCGAGUGGAAUUCCUGGUGUAGCGGUGAAAUGCGUAGAUAUCGAGAGGGACACCUGCGGCGAAGGCGGGUUGCUGGGCUGAUACUGACGCUGAGGCGCGAAAGCCAGGGGAGCGAACGGG
rnacentral:rRNA from 1 species